GCGAGUCCUAAAUUUGAGGAUAGGGGGUCAUCUAGGGAGGCUGUUGGACUUGCUCUGAGGAUGGCAUCGUCUUCCCUUCCCCCGGUGCAGAACCUUGGCGGAAGCACAUAUAUCCUAUGUGUACCAAAACAAGGGGAUCUACCUUUUGCUUACAUGUGUAAGCUAAGCUAUCAUUUGAUUGCUUUCAUAUGUUUCUUAGUUUCUAUUUUUAAGUUACUGACUUCUGUUUUGUAGGUAACGCACUGAUCCUUAUCAACGUAUUGAAGCUUGAAAAUGAGGAGG
rnacentral:lncRNA from 1 species